UGCCCAGCAGCUCCUAUCCCUACCUCCUCGUUGUACCGGCCGGAAACUAUGAGCAACCUUAGGGAAGAUCGGGUAACCAACCCCGUUGGGAACUUUGGUCGUAGGCUGACAGGGAAGG
rfam:Aedes albopictus isolate Foshan contig81151, whole genome shotgun sequence.